UACGUAGGGUGCGAGCGUUGUUCGGAAUUACUGGGCGUAAAGGGCUCGUAGGUGGCCAACUAAGUCAGACGUGAAAUCCCUCAGCUUAACUGGGGAACUGCGUCUGAUACUGGAUGGCUUGAGUUUGGGAGAGGGAUGCGGAAUUCCAGGUGUAGCGGUGAAAUGCGUAGAUAUCAAGAGGAACACCAGUGGCGAAGGCGAGUCCCUGGACAACACCUGACACUGAGGCACGAAAGCUAGGGGAGCAAACAGG
rnacentral:rRNA from 1 species